rnacentral:rRNA from 1 species
CUUACACAUGCAGUCGAACGGAAACAGAAAGUAGCUUGCUACUUUGCUGUCGAGUGGCGGACGGGUGAGUAAUGCUUGGGAAUAUGCCAAAACGUGGGGGACAACAGUUGGAAACGACUGCUAAUACCGCAUAAUGUCUUCGGACCAAAGCAGGGGACCUUCGGGCCUUGCGCGUUUUGAUUAGCCCAAGUGGGAUUAGCUAGUUGGUAAGGUAAUGGCUUACCAAGGCGACGAUCCCUAGCUGGUCUUAGAGGAUGACCAGCCACACUGGAACUGAGACACGGUCCAGACUCCUACGGGAGGCAGCAGUGGGGAAUAUUGCACAAUGGGGGAAACCCUGAUGCAGCCAUGCCGCGUGUGUGAAGAAGGCUUUCGGGUUGUAAAGCACUUUCAGUGGGGAGGAAAGGGUGUACGUUAAUAGCGUGCAUCUGUGACGUUACCCACAGAAGAAGCACCGGCUAACUCCGUGCCAGCAGCCGCGGUAAUACGGAGGGUGCGAGCGUUAAUCGGAAUUACUGGGCGUAAAGCGCGCGUAGGUGGUUAAUUAAGUCAGAUGUGAAAGCCCAGGGCUCAACCUUGGAACUGCAUUUGAAACUGGUUAACUAGAGUUUUGUAGAGGGUGGUAGAAUUUCAGGUGUAGCGGUGAAAUGCGUAGAGAUCUGAAGGAAUACCAGUGGCGAAGGCGGCCACCUGGACAAAGACUGACACUGAGGCGCGAAGGCGUGGGGAGCAAACGGGAUUAGAUACCCCGGUAGUCCACGCAGUAAACGAUGUCUAUUAGAAGUUUGUGGCUAUAUGCCGUGGGUUUCAAAGCUAACGCAUUAAAUAGACCGCCUGGGGAGUACGGCCGCAAGGUUAAAACUCAAAUGAAUUGACGGGGGCCCGCACAAGCGGUGGAGCAUGUGGUUUAAUUCGAUGCAACGCGAAGAACCUUACCAUCU